GUGGGCGACGGCCGUUGCGGGCAGUCCUGGACCUGGCCGGAGGUGCUGGUUGGCUGCGGACCCUCGUGCAGGCUGGGAGUGGAUGUGUGGCCGCGGUUUCCCUGCCGGGUGGUCGGUCGUUGGUCCUCGGCUAUGCAGCUACUUCGGCAAGUGCUGCGGUGGCGGCGGUGUGAGGCUUCUUGGCAGUGCUACCAAUCCCAUGGAGGCGUGGCGAUGGGCGAAGCGCGGAUGAAAAUUUUGCACGGCUUCUGCCGGGCCGGCGGUGAUGGCAUCUGUGGAUGUCAUUCCCCUCCUUGGAGGCAUCGUCGAGCGUGUUCGCCUCAUCCCUCGCGCUCUCGGUGUUGGUGGAUGUCUCCGGGUGAAAGCCUAGAUUCGAUGUUCGGAUCGGCACGAUGGCGGUGUCCUCGACGCCGCUCCUCUGUUGGGAGCAUUGUGUUUGGAGACACGACUGGUUCCUCGUUGCUCUCCUCCGGUGUUCGCCGCUAUCCUUUUCUGAUCUUCAGUGGCGCUAUGUACGUUGGUCGUCGGUGAAUCCAAGGCGGCGUCUUCCCGGAUUGGAUCGAGUCCUGCCAUUCAUCUGCCACUUUCUCUUAGGC
rnacentral:rRNA from 1 species